UACGAAGGGUGCAAACGUUGCUCGGAAUUAUUGGGCGUAAAGCGCACGUAGGCGGCUUAGCAAGUCGGAAGUGAAAGCCCUCGGCUCAACCAAGGAAGUGCUUUCGAAACUGCUGAGCUUGAGUACUUAAGAGGAUCGCGGAAUUCCCGGUGUAGAGGUGAAAUUCGCAGAUAUCGGGAGGAACACCGGUGGCGAAGGCGGUUCUCUGGGCCUUAACUGACGCUGAGGAGCGAAAGCAUGGGGAGCGAACAGG
rnacentral:rRNA from 1 species